GCCAGGAGAUCACCCCACAUGUGGCCUCCCACCAGGUGGCCCCCUCCACUCCAGGGGGCUCCCACUGCCUUCAGCUGCAGAGGUGAGGGGAUCCUCGAUCUAAACCCCUGGGCCGGUCAGCCCACAUUGGAGCAGCACACCUGUGACGGGGACCCAGACAACUCGGCUCUGAGGGGAGCACCUGAAAUGGUGAGGCCACUGUCCCGCGGGCAUUAAGAGGUCACCUGCUGCAUGCGAGGUCAGAGGGCUGAUGCCAUCCCAUGUUGGACAGGAAGCUCCAGGCGGGCAGGGACGUCAUGUUUACUGCUCAGCCCCUGCUCCCCACUCAGUGCCAGGCUUACAGGAGGCACAAGUGUACACACUGUCAUGCAAAUGCAGCAAUGAAACUGUGUUCCCUUCUCCCACAAUACCACACCAGGGUAGUGGGCUCCCUACAAGUGCUGGCCCUGGGCACUUAGGGCAGCUAGAAUCCUAAACCUGGGGUUCCUUGGUUGAGGGUGUAUAACUUUUGCUUCCAACUACCCUUUAAGAAGGGAGCACAGGGGCCGGCCGAGUGACUCGGUUAAGAGCAUGAGCUCUGAGCAACAGAGUCGC